GCCGUGCAUGACGUCGUCAAAAAAAAAAAUCGAGGCGAUCCUCACAACGGCAUCCGCAAACCGGUGAAAUCCCGACGGAAAAUCCACCCCAUCCGGAGGAAAACAACAAAUCGAGUCGUAACAUUGAAGGUGGCGGAUCCAGAAAAAAACGAGAGCGACCGCUGCGGCCGCCGAGAAGUUCGCAUCGACGAGGUCGGCAGGAUCAAUACAGCGAAAAAUCAGUCCUCGGAGCCAGCGACGGAAUCCGCAGAAGCCGGAAAACUACAAGGACAGGAGCUCCGCACUCGGCUGCACUGGGUAGAGACACCAAGAAACAAAAACAACAAAUUACUCGGCUCCCAAUGUUGACGGAAUAACAAAGGAUGUGGAAACUCAGUAUUCGGACUAUGGGCCCCUUUACAACGAUGACCCGCGUCCCACCGAUGGGGCAGCACAAGCAACCCAACGACACCACCGUCAAUCCGGAUACAAACAACCAAUGGAAUCUGGACCAGCUGUCGAAUGCCUCCACUGAAUCGACCGUCGAAUCGGCUAUGCAGGUCAACACCAUCGAGGCGGCCGUUCUGGUACGCCCACCGCGGCCACGACCAUGACGACGGCUCCCAGCAGCAGCCCCACUACCAUCAGCCCACGAUGCUCGAACAGCAAUGCCAAGCCACAACCUCUGCGACCCCACGGGGUGGACGCAAUCCAGCCCCGACCACCCCUCGCCUCGAACAAACAACAACCAGCAGCAAACCCACCUGCACCAACGCAUUAAGUGGGGACAGAUCACCGAGCCAUCGCAGGGACCAACCGAAUCAUCGGACGCCAGUACAAGUAUAAAGUACACG